AACGAACGCUGGCGGCAGGCUUAACACAUGCAAGUCGAACGAUGUAGCAAUACAUAGUGGCGCACGGGUGAGUAACGCGUGGGAAUGUACCAUUUGGUGGGGGAAUAACUUCGGGAAACUGAAGCUAAUACCGCAUACGCCCGAGAGGGGAAAGAUUUAUCGCCAAAUGAUCAGCCCGCGUGAGAUUAGGUAGUUGGUGGGGUAAUGGCCUACCAAGCCUACGAUCUCUAGCUGGUCUGAGAGGAUGAUCAGCCACACUGGAACUGAGACACGGUCCAGACUCCUACGGGAGGCAGCAGUGGGGAAUAUUGGGGCAAUGGAGGGAAACUCUGACCCAGCCAUGCCGCGUGAAUGAUGAAGGCCUUAGGGUUGUAAAGUUCUUUGUAAGGGAAGAAAAUAGACGGUACCUUAAGAAUAAGACUCCGGCUAACCUUCGUGCCAGCAGCCG
rnacentral:rRNA from 1 species